UGGGAAUUUGGACAAUGGGCGAAAGCCUGAUCCAGCAAUGCCGCGUGUGUGAAGAAGGCCUUCGGGUUGUAAAGCACUUUUGUCCGGAAAGAAAUCCUUGGCUCUAAUACAGUCGGGGGAUGACGGUACCGGAAGAAUAAGCACCGGCUAACUACGUGCCAGCAGCCGCGGUAAUACGUAGGGUGCAAGCGUUAAUCGGAAUUACUGGGCGUAAAGCGUGCGCAGGCGGUUUGCUAAGACCGAUGUGAAAUCCCCGGGCUCAACCUGGGAACUGCAUUGGUGACUGGCAGGCUAGAGUAUGGCAGAGGGGGGUAGAAUUCCACGUGUAGCAGUGAAAUGCGUAGAGAUGUGGAGGAAUACCGAUGGCGAAGGCAGCCCCCUGGGCCAAUACUGACGCUCAUGCACGAAAGCGUGGGGAGCAAAACAGGAUUAGAUACCCUGGUAGUCCACGCCCUAAAACGAUGUCAACUAGUUGUUGGGGAUUCAUUUCCUUAGUAACGUAGCUAACGCGUGAAGUUGACCGCCUGGGGAGUACGGUCGCAAGAUUAAAACUUAAAGGAAUUGACGGGGUCAUAGCUGUUUCCU
rnacentral:rRNA from 1 species